AGUGAACGCUGGCGGUAUGCCUAACACAUGCAAGUCGAACGGCAGCACAGUAAGAGCUUGCUCUUACGGGUGGCGAGUGGCGGACGGGUGAGGAAUACAUCGGAAUCUACUUUUUCGUGGGGGAUAACGUAGGGAAACUUACGCUAAUACCGCAUACGACCUACGGGUGAAAGCAGGGGAUCUUCGGACCUUGCGCGAUUGAAUGAGCCGAUGUCGGAUUAGCUAGUUGGCGGGGUAAAGGCCCACCAAGGCGACGAUCCGUAGCUGGUCUGAGAGGAUGAUCAGCCACACUGGAACUGAGACACGGUCCAGACUCCUACGGGAGGCAGCAGUGGGGAAUAUUGGGCAAUGGGCGCAAGCCUGAUCCAGCCAUACCGCGUGGGUGAAGAAGGCCUUCGGGUUGUAAAGCCCUUUUGUUGGGAAAGAAAAGCAGCAGAUUAAUACCCCGCUGUUCUGACGGUACCCAAAGAAUAAGCACCGGCUAACUUCGUG
rnacentral:rRNA from 1 species